GGAUAAUCGGUAAGUAAUAUUUGAUGACAAUAUGGAUAUUUUGGCCUUGUGACUUAAUGAGACCAUUGGAUAUAGUUGACAUUUCAUAGGAUUGUGAGUUCUCAUAUAUAUGUGUUAUGAUAUAUGGGGUGAUGAGGCCUAGGGACAGUCUUGGAAAGAUAAGGGAAUGUGAGCCAAGCUCCAUUCACUGGGAUAUAUAUGUGUGGUGUGUUGGAGAGCAUUAGCUAAGGAUAUUUUGGCCUUGUGACUUAAUGAGACCAUUGGAUAUAGUUGGCAUUUCAUAAGAUUGUGGGUUCUCAUAUAUAUGUGUUGUGAUAUAUGAGGCGAUGAGGCCUAGGGACAGUUUUGGAGAGAUAAGGGAAUAUGAGCCAAGCUCCAUUCACUGGGAUAUAUAUGUGUGGUGUGUU
rnacentral:lncRNA from 1 species